rnacentral:rRNA from 1 species
UACGGGGGGCAAGGGCAGUGUUCGGAAUUACUGGGCGUAAAGGGCUCGUAGGCGGCCAACUAAGUCAGACGUGAAAUCCCUCGGCUUAACCGGGGAACUGCGUCUGAUACUGGAUGGCUUGAGUUCGGGAGAGGGAUGCGGAAUUCCAGGUGUAGCGGUGAAAUGCGUAGAUAUCUGGAGGAACACCGGUGGCGAAGGCGGCAUCCUGGACCGACACUGACGCUGAGGAGCGAAAGCCAGGGGAGCAAACGGG